rnacentral:rRNA from 1 species
CGGGCGGACGGGUGAGUAACGCGUGGGUAACCUGCCUCAUACAGGGGGAUAACAGUUAGAAAUGGCUGCAAUACCGCAUAAGACCACAGUACUGCAUGGUACAGUGGUAAAAACUCCGGUGGUAUGAGAUGGACCCGCGUCUGAUUAGGUAGUUGGUGAGGUAACGGCCCACCAAGCCGACGAUCAGUAGCCGACCUGAGAGGGUGACCGGCCACAUUGGGACUGAGACACGGCCCAG